AAGAGAAGAAAAAGCCCCACAUAAAGAAGCCCCUUAAUGCAUUCAUGUUGUAUAUGAAGGAGAUGAGAGCGAAGGUGGUGGCUGAGUGCACAUUGAAAGAGAGUGCAGCCAUCAACCAGAUCCUCGGGCGCAGGUGGCACGCCCUGUCCAGGGAAGAACAGGCAAAGUACUACGAGCUAGCCCGGAAGGAACGACAGCUUCACAUGCAGCUGUACCCUGGCUGGUCUGCACGGGAUAACUAUGGAAAGAAGAAGAAGAGAAAAAGAGACAAGCAGCCGGGGGAGACCAAUGAACACAGCGAAUGUUUCCUAAAUCCUUGCCUUUCGCUUCCUCCGAUCACAGGUGCUAAUGUCCUUUGAGUCCUUAAAAUAGUUUGAUAAACUGUUUUUUUUUUCAUUUUUCUUGCCAUUUAUAGUCUUAUUAACAUUAAACACAUAUGACAUUUGAACAUCCUUUAAAACGAUCAUCUACACGGUUGCAUUACGUUUCAGUAGAUUUUUUUUCCAGUUGCUUUUGUUGGUUUUAUUUAUUUAUUUAUUUAUUUAUUUUUACUUUAAACUUCUGUCUCAUUUUAUCUAUUUUUCCCGUAACAGUUGUUUAUGCAGCAUUAAACAGUGGUUUAGAGCUGAAGUAACUGUGCAAAUUGAAUAUGCAGUAUUUCUUUAAAAGAGACUGGUAAAGAACAAAAAAAAAAAAAAA
rnacentral:lncRNA from 1 species